UAGGGAAUCUUCGGCAAUGGACGAAAGUCUGACCGAGCAACGCCGCGUGAGUGAAGAAGGUUUUCGGAUCGUAAAACUCUGUUGUUAGAGAAGAACAAGGACGUUAGUAACUGAACGUCCCCUGACGGUAUCUAACCAGAAAGCCACGGCUAACUACGUGCCAGCAGCCGCGGUAAUACGUAGGUGGCAAGCGUUGUCCGGAUUUAUUGGGCCUAAAGCGAGCGCAGGCGGUUUCUUAAGUCUGAUGUGAAAGCCCCCGGCUCAACCGGGGAGGGUCAUUGGAAACUGGGAGACUUGAGUGCAGAAGAGGAGAGUGGAAUUCCAUGUGUAGCGGUGAAAUGCGUAGAUAUAUGGAGGAACACCAGUGGCGAAGGCGGCUCUCUGGUCUGUAACUGACGCUGAGGCUCGAAAGCGUGGGGAGCAAACAGG
rnacentral:rRNA from 1 species